rfam:Anolis carolinensis unplaced genomic scaffold chrTn0087, whole genome shotgun sequence.
CCAAAGGCUCUUUUCAGAGCCACCCAACUUUUCAUUUUGAAAGGAG